AGCAGAGCUAGGAGGAGGAUUAUUGAUCAGACUAUCUAGCUGCUUAGCCCCUGGGCAGUGGCCCAAACGGCAACCCUAUAAAGUUCUGCUCAGACGUAGUGCACUAUAUAGGGAAGAGGGUCUAUAGUAGUGCACUGUAUAGGGAAGAGGGUCUAUAGUAGUGCACUGUAUAGGGAAGAGGGUCUAUAGUAGUGCACUGUAAAGGGAAGAGGGUCUAUAGUAGUGCACUGUAUAGGGAAGAGGGUCUAUAGUAGUGCACUGUAUAGGGAAGAGGGUCUAUAGUAG
ensembl:lncRNA